rnacentral:rRNA from 1 species
UAAGGAAUAUUGGACAAUGGAGGCAACUCUGAUCCAGCCAUGCCGCGUGAAGGAAUAAGGCCCUAUGGGUUGUAAACUUCUUUUAGACGGGACAAAACCCCUUUACGUGUAAAGGGUUGAUGGUACUGUCAGAAUAAGCAUCGGCUAACUUCGUGCCAGCAGCCGCGGUAAUACGAAGGAUGCAAGCGUUAUCCGGAAUUAUUGGGUUUAAAGGGUGCGUAGGCGGACUAAUAAGUCAGUGGUGAAAGCCUGCAGCUUAACUGCAGAAUUGCCAUUGAUACUGUUAGUCUGGAGUACAGUUGAGGUAGGCGGAAUGUGUCAUGUAGCGGUGAAAUGCUUAGAUAUGACACAGAACACCGAUUGCGAAGGCAGCUUGCUAAGCUGUAACUGACGCUGAGGCACGAAAGCGUGGGGAGCAAACA